UUAAAGAUUAUGAUAAGAAAGAGUAAAUCUAGUCAACUUUUUUAGAGAGCUAACGGGUGGUGGAAGUUAGUAAAGCAUCUAGGUUGAAGCAGUCUUUGAGUCGCUAGCUGAGAACUAAAAAGCAUGUCUUUUUAAUUAGGCUAAGACGUUCCCUCGCGUUACUGAGGACUUGAGUGGGUAAUUUAAAUUACUUAUUAGGGUGGUACCGCGAAGUAGUCCUUCGUCCCUUUU
rnacentral:ncRNA from 1 species